GAGGAAGCGAGCAGCCAUCCGCAAGUUCUUCCGUGGGCC
rnacentral:SRP_RNA from 12 species